rnacentral:rRNA from 1 species
UACAGAGGUCUCAAGCGUUGUUCGGAUUCAUUGGGCGUAAAGGGUGCGUAGGCGGCGCGGUAAGUCGGAUGUGAAAAUCUCGGAGCUUAACUUCGAAACUGCAUUCGAUACUGCCGUGCUUGAGGACUGGAGAGGAGACGUGGAAUUUACGGUGUAGCGGUGAAAUGCGUAGAUAUCUGGAGGAAUACCGGUGGCGAAGGCGGGCGAUCC